UACAGAGGUCCCAAGCGUUUGUUCGGAUUCAUUGGGCGUAAAGGGUGCGUAGGUGGCGCUGUAAGUCGGGUGUGAAAUUUCGGAGCUUAACUCCGAAACUGCAUUCGAUACUGCGGUGCUUGAGGACUGGAGAGGAGACUGGAAUUCAUGGUGUAGCAGUGAAAUGCGUAGAGAUCAUGAGGAAGACCAGUGGCGAAGGCGGGUCUCUGGACAGUUCCUGACACUGAGGCACGAAGGCCAGGGGAGCAAACGGG
rnacentral:rRNA from 1 species